rnacentral:rRNA from 1 species
AGAACGAACGCUGGCGGCAGGCCUCAAACAUGCAAGUCUAGGGGUGUAGCAAUACACACCGGCGGACGGGUGCGUAACGCGUGGGAACAUACCUUUCGGUACGGAACAACCCAGGGAAACUUGGGCUAAUACCGUAUACGUCCUAACGGAGAAAGAUUUAUCGCCGAAGGAUUGGCCCGCGUUCGAUUAGCUAGUUGGUGGGGUAACGGCUCACCAAGGCGACGAUCGAUAGCUGUUCUGAGAGGAAGAUCAGCCACACUGGGACUGAGACACGGCCCAGACUCCUACGGGAGGCAGCAGUUGGGAAUCUUGGACAAUGGGGGAAACCCUGAUCCAGCCAUGCCGCGUGAGUGAUGAAGGCCUUCGGGUUGUAAAACUCUUUCGACGGGGACGAUAAUGACGGUACCCGUAGAAGAAGCUCGGCUAACUUCGUGCCAGCAGCCGC